AUGAUGGUGCCUAGGCAAAAAUCAGGCACGCAGAAAGUUACUGUGACUUUGAAGCCACUGCUCUGCUGUGUCCAAAUGCUCUUGGGGACUGGCCUUGGGGAGGAGAUUCAAAGGGAAACCUUCAGAGGAUCAAAGGAAACCUGGAACAGAGUGGAUCGAAUGCAAGCUUUUCAAUUUUAACUGAUUUGGAGCAUGAGCUGGUGGCUAUUGACAGUGAGUUUCUGAGGCACUCCUUUGCCUCUCAGGUAAAGAUUCAUGGACCAUUCUGAAAUGGUCAGCGACGCAGUGGACAGCCUAGCACUGUCAACUUAGCUGGAUGCUUGAUGGCUUAGCCUGCCUGGGCUUGCAUGUUCUCUUCUGAAAGAUGAGAGAGAAGGAGCCCAGCCCACGGGAUUGCUAGAGGAGAGAGACUGUCAUUCCUGCACUGUGAAACCCGGACCUGGGAUUCCGGAGACUUCUGCCUACGGUACCUAGGCCAACACAUGUUCAUCCAUGCGCCUCACAUGUGAAUAGGUUUGUCUUACCUUCUUACCUACGUGGGAAGUUACCAAGCACAAGGCUCCUACUGUGUACAGCUCUACUUCCCCAUAACUCACUACCACUUCUGGGCUUGGAAUGGGCUACUGCUUACUUGAUCGAGUAAUCAACCAAAGGAAACUAUUGCCAUUUAUUUCCUGAAGUCUUGAUGUGAUAGACUAAGAAUAAUUACAAUACUUCCCACUUACUACAAUGGCUUAAUUUUUCAAAUCCUUGUAAAAUAUACUGUUUUAUGUUUGAAACCUUAAUCGAGCCUUAAAUCAGGUGAAUUGAAGAUGUAAACACUCACCCAUUUUCCCCACAAAUGGUAACACAACCCCAGUUUCAAUGAGAUUUUUAAUGGAACUGGAGCAGCCUCUUCUGAAGCUCAUUUGAGAGGAAAACACAUGAAAAUAGUCCUGAAAGAUAAACCAAAGAUUUUUGUAUGAGUGGGGACAUGUCCCAGUAGUUAUCAAAACAGCAGUUACAUCUUAAGCCAUUUAAUAUACAAAGUAUAGUGAUAAAGCAAUUAGCCAAAAAAAGAUUAGCGUUCAGAAGCAGAGCCAGCAAUAUAGAAGACUAUUAUAGAUGGAAUCAUUUUAAACCUGUGGCUGAAGCAGCCACAGUUCAGUAAAUUAUACAGAGAAAACCAGCUGCACAUUUGAACUCAUACCACACACCAGUAAGUUUCAGGUGGAAUGAAACUCUAAACGUAAGAAUCCAAUCUGUACAUGCAUUAUCACAAAAUAUGAAUGAACCUUUAAAACGUUAUCUUCAGCUAGGAGGUCUUUGUAAACAACAAGAGAAAAUCCAGAGGCCAUUAAGGAAGCUGUCACUUCAUUAAAGCAAUCAUCAAAACGUAAAAAGGGGAGUGACAGAAUGGAACAAAAUGUUUGAAUUAUACAUUUCAGAAAAAAAAGAGUUACUGUUCAUUAUCCAAAGAGUGACUAUAAGCUAAUGAGAAAAAUAUAAUUGAUUGCUUUUAAAAAUGAGCAAAAGAGAGCCAGGCGUAGUGGCGCAUGCCUGUAAUCCCCAGAACUUGGGAGGCUAAGGCAGGAGGAUCACUGUGAAUUCAAGACCAUCCUGGGCUACAACGUGAGUUUCAGGUCAGUCUCAAUUACAUAGUGAGACCCUGUCUCACAAAACAAAAACAAAAAUAAAUAAAUCAAAUAGAGAGCAAAAGAUAUAAAAUAAGCAAGUCCCAGAAGAAAUGAAAAUAACUAGGGAACAUUUGAAAAAUAUGUCCCGUCUCAUUAAUAAAGAAAGGUAAAACAAAGGAACACAAGUUGUCAUUUUCUACAUAUCAGAUGGGGAAAAAGAUUAGAGCACUGGAUACUGAAUGAGUAUUUUGUGUAGACUGUCAAAGACAGAUAACACUAACAUGUUGCCAGGUGGAAAAAAUAAGUUAUAGAUGAUGGUACAUUACAUUAUGUCAUUUUUACAAUAGUUUUAAAGAACACGUGUGUAAGUUAUAUCAUAAUAAUUAUAUAUUUGUUAUAUAUGUAUGAUCAAGUUAAUAUCUCUU
ensembl:lincRNA